UUGUAUAUGGAACACAAGUUAUUCAAAUAUUCAAGAAGUUAUCGAUCAAAAUCAAAAGUAUCUAAGCAAAGAAAUCAACCAAGAAAAUGGAAGCAGGAAAAUGUGUAGCAAAAGCUCCUUUUGGUAGUGUGAUUAUAGGUGUACUCAUACUCGGUCUGUUCAUAGCACAGGCUUCAGUAGAGGCUAGAAGCUGCUGCGAUUCCAAAGCUGGAAGAAAUUGUUACCAAGCAUGUGUUAGACGAACAGGUGCAACGAAACUUUGUGCCAGAUCCUGUGGUUGUAGAUUUACUAGAGAGAACAGGUGCCCCUCAAGCCACCCAUGGGCUAACACUAGCAAUUUCCAAAACUCAGACAAUGGUGAUGAAUUUGAAGAACAAAGCAACGUACGAACGAAAAUAAAAUCAAUGAGUACUGCAAGUUGGGGUGUGCAUUCUCUGUGUGCAAAAACAUAAACACUCCUCAGGAUUCAGAAUUAGACGAAGCAGUGGAACGUUGUAAAUGCAUGCUUCGAUUUGUGCAACAAGAAUUCCAACAUUGCAGUUGUCACGGUGGCUUAAAAAAACAUGUACGCAUGGAGAUAUUACGUCCAAGUCAAUUGAAGCGGUCGCAAUCAAUCUUAAUUAAGUGAUGCUUUUCUAUUUCCAGUGACUGUCGUUUGUGUGUGUGACUGUUACUAGCCUGUUUGUGAGUGUGACAGUUACUAGUGUUUAAUUAAGUUGUUUUUUAUCCUUCAAUGUAUGAAUUAUCAUGCAUGAUGAAGAUAGUAUUGUGGUACGUACUUCACAUAAAUAUAUAAAACGAGAUGUCGAGUUGAUUGGAUCAGUGUUCAUGUUCACAAUUCAACAGUGAAUAAAGGUCGAGUUUUCUACCA